rnacentral:tRNA from 1 species
GGGGAUUAGCUCAGCUGGCUAGAGCGCCUGCCUUGCAC